AGUGAAGCGGCAACAGCUCAAAUUUGAAAUCUGGCCCCCCGCGGGCCCGAGUUGUACUUUGGAGAGGACGCUUCUGGCGCGGCGCCGUCCGAGUUCCCUGGAACGGGACGCCGGAGAGGGUGAGAGCCCCGUACGGGCGGCCGCCUAGCCUCUGCGAAGCUCCUUCGACGAGUCGAGUAGUUUGGGAAUGCUGCUCAAAAUGGGAGGUAAAUUUCUUCUAAAGCUAAAUACCGGCCAGAGACCGAUAGCGCACAAGUAGAGUGAUCGAAAGAUGAAAAGCACUUUGAAAAGAGGGUCAAACAGUACGUGAAAUUGUUGAAAGGGAAGCGCCUGUGGCCAGACUUGCGCCCCGCGGACCACCCGGCGCCUCGCGCGCCGGGGCACGCCAGCGGGGCGCAGGCCAGCAUCGGCUCUCUCGGGGGGACAAAGGCCGCGGGAACGUAGCGCCCUCGCGGCGUAUUAUAGCCCGCGGCGCCAUGCCCCCGGGGGGGCCGAGGACCGCGCUCCGGCAAGGAUGCUGGCGUAAUGGCCACCGGCGACCCGUCUUGAAACACGGACCAAGGAGUCAAGCAUUGGGGCGAGUGUCUGGGUGGCAAGCCCGCACGCGGAAUGAAAGUGAACGCAGGUGGGAGCUUCGGCGCACCACCGACCGAUCCUGAUGUCCUCGGAUGGAUUUGAGUAGGAGCCCCGCCGCUUGGACCCGAAAGA
rnacentral:rRNA from 1 species